rnacentral:lncRNA from 1 species
CUUUAUGAAAUAAUUUAUACUUUGUGAAGAAUAUAAGACUAUUAAACUUUUCAUUGGGAUAUAUGUUGUAAAGGGUUUCAUGAUUAGAUCGUGUGAUCUUCUAGAGGCCCUGCCGGUAAUAUAUUCAAUGUAAACUUAAACAAAAACCUUAUUUAAACCAUGGAAGUAAAAAACAUAUGAAAGUUCAUCGAGCUGCAAACAUCAAACGCUUCUCCCAGAUAGAGGGUUUAGGUUGAAGAUGAAGGUACCUGGGAUUUUUUUUUAGAAGAAUUAUCAGAAAGACAUACUCAAAUAAGAUUAGCCAAAAAUUAAAAUUGUACCCGCUCCUAAAAUUAAAUUUCAUGUUUGUUUUUUUUUUUAUUGGUAACUAAUUAUGUACCGAAACUUUGUUGUCUAUGGCACUGCAGAUAGUCUAAUAAAUUUCAAAAAAUAACGAGAGUACAUUUAUUUUUUUAAAUUAAAUAUGUUAUAUAUAUUUACAUAUAUGUAAACUUAUAUAUUUAAAAUUUAAAAUCUGUGUGUAAAGUAUAUUAUGUAUUUUAGCUGGAAAAAAAUAAGAAAUCAUCAGGAGAGCAAAGAUAUAAUUUGUUUUAGAUGUUGCAACAAGAACAAACAAUGAGAAAAAGAUGUACUUAUCUUCUUUUGUUUUUUGUUUUUUUGUUUUUUUUGUCAUUUUAAAUCUGUCACUUUUUAUAAAAAAAGUUUUAGUUUCUUAAAUGCAAGAUAUAUAAAAAAAUUUUUACAGAAAGGAAAAAGUGUCAAAAGUGCAGAAACCUCCUGCAAAGAAAAAGAGUUACUAUUUCAAUGCUUGGCAGAAUACAAGUGGUGUCUGAAUUAUGUCAAUGUCCAAUCUGUAGUUUCGCAAGGGACACUAGAAGUAAUAUAUAGAUGAACUUAAGGGAGUUCAUUGACCCCAUCUAAACACAGGAAAAAAAAGUAAUCCAAAUUCAAGUUCUUAUACUGAUGCCUCAAUGUGUGGAGAUAUAUUUUCAAUAUAUAGGAAGAGGUAUUAGACACCCAUGUAAUAGAAAGUCAACUGCUAAAAACUUGAAGAGAUUAUCUCUCCAAAAAAGAUUAGUUUAGAUCAGUAUUUAAUAUCAAAAAAUUACAUGAUUUGAUGCUGAACGGUAGUAAAAUUUUCAUCACAAGAUUGUAAAAACUCCAUUAAAACUUUAUUCUCAUGAAAGUUAUUUAAUUGCUUAAGUUAACAAUGAUACAGAAAGAUGUUUUAAGAUGAUAUCUAUGCAAAAUUACAUGAUUUGCCUGAAUGUAUCAUUAAAAGUAUGUUGACUGACAAUAGAAAAUAUGUUGGUCGAUCAGGAUUUGAAACCAAUGUGGAGAUUGGGGUGAAUAAAAAGUCCCAUUCACUAAAUUAGUUUUAUUGCGUUCUGCAAUUGACAUUUCAGCAAGGUGCUUACCAUACAGAGGUUUAAAAAGAUGUAGUAUAUGCGGAAGAUAUACCUUUGCUUGUUGAUGAAAUAUACAAAGAAAGAGGUUGUUCUCCAAAAAUCAGUUGUGAGGAUUGGUAUCGACGGCGGCCAAGGGUCAAUUAAAUUUGUUAUGAACUUUUUUCAAUCAGAAAAACUUGAGGAUCAAUUAAGGAACCAAAUAGACUCGGGUGUAAACAAAGUUAUUUUAUUGACAAUUGUCCGACAUGUUGAAGAAAACAAUUACAGUUUAGCCCAAAUUGUCCACCUUCUCAAACAUCAUGAAUGGAAGUACUUUCUUGCAUCAGAUCUUAAGCUUAUCAAUAUUAUGCUCGGAUUAUCUGCCUACGGUGGGAAUUAUACAUGCACUUAAUGUAUUACUGCACAAGACAAAUUAGGAGAAUUAAGAACCUUUGGUAGUUUAUUACAACAGUAUCAGCAAUUUGUUGAUGCAGGAAAACCACACAAGUUAAUGCAGAACUUUUUUAAUGUCAUCAACUUAUGUCUUUUUAAUGAGAGCCCGGACAGCCUAAUAUUGGAUGUUAUAUCUCCACCAGAGCAGCAUCUCUAUGAGCAUAUUAUCAUACAAGUGUCAAGAGUACUAUUUUUAAAAAAGACUUUAACUAAGUUCUUAGAAGAAAAAACUUUUACUCAGCAUGGCUAUUAUGGUGGAAGACUAGAUGGCCCUAAUUGUCAAAAGGUUCUAAGGUCAUUAGAUGAGAUGAUAACUGUAGCGCCGCUGAAAUACCACGAGUGCAUUAACACACUAAGAAAAUUUAAAGCAGUGGCUGAGAGUUGUUUUGGAAUGACAUUAGAUCCGUCUUAUGGUUAUAAAACUAAAGCUUUCAUCGAUUCCAUUGACUACAUGAACAAUUUUAUUCAAUAUAAUUGUUCGAUGUUCAAUUAUUGAAGAAAGGUUUAACAUCAGUAUGUCACUCGGAUGGAAAUAUCAUAUCAUUAAAUAUCACUUGAAAGAUUAUUUGGAACGCAAUCAGAUGUCUCUCGGUCUGACAUCAGAACAAACCUUAGAAGCUGUUCACAAGAAAACAAUAAGGGGAAGGGUGCUAAAAAUAUUUUUUAAAUUUAAUUAAACUAGAUUUAAUUGUUUCAAUAUUUUCUUAACCUUAUAGGGUAAAGUGUUGUUAAAUGAUAAUACAACUGUCAACAUAUCAUUGUUAUUAUUUAAAAAUAAUAUUAAUUUUGCAGUGGAUUUUCGUUAAUUUGAUGUCAUUCGCUACUUUCAAGAUUAAACAUUUAUAAAUAACAGAUUUAAAGGUUGAUGGGAAGUGGGGGGAGAGCUGUAACACCAAAGCCCUCUACAUUUGAGAAAUUAAUGGGGCUGCAUCCCUCUAAGCUCCGCCUUUUCCGCCUGUUCCGCCAGCCCUACAUUCAUACAUUGUCAUUAUAAUUUUAAAUUGUAAGACUACUUAUGCUCCAUAGGGUCUAUUUAAGCUAUCUGCGGCACCAAAGACAAAAAGGUUAUGACGGUAAAAAUUAUCACUAUUAAAAAUUAAAAAAAUCAUCAAAUUCUCAAUUUAGAAGCGGCUCCCAUUUUAAUUUUUUUUUUAGCAUUAAUCUACUAAACUCACCUGAUAAUUAAAAUAAAACCCAGGUACCUUCAACCUAAACCCCUUAUCUGGAAGCAGUACAAAUCAAUUUCAAGUCGUCUCGGGAGUAUGCUUGUAACCGACAAUAAA